rnacentral:tRNA from 1 species
GCCGGUGUAGCUCAGGGGUAGAGCAACUGAUUCGUAAUCAGUAGGUCGGGGGUUCAAUUCCCCCUGCCGGCU